rnacentral:tRNA from 1 species
ACCUUGGUGGUAUAAUCGGUAACACACCAGACCGGAUAUCUGUAGAAGCGAGUUCGAUUUCUGCUUAAGGUC